UCAGAUCAUGUCCUCUUUUUUCAUUUUCUUGAUGGCGAAGAGUGAACCAGUCCGGUGGACCUCGCCUGAGAAGGUGACCAGAGGUCCAGCGCCGGUGGUGUGCUGGACAGGUUCUGAGCCAUUGAUCUCAUUUAAAAUGUUUUAAUCUUGGGCAUUGGUUGUGAUUACCACGUGUGUGGCAUGCUGACUAAGUUUCACCAUGGAAUGCGCGUUUCCAUCCACUUGAUCUGCCACCUCAAUUAAUUAGGGAGAUC
rnacentral:lncRNA from 1 species